rnacentral:lncRNA from 1 species
AAAAAAAAGCUUUUCCGCAGUCAUCUUUCCCCCAAGUUUUCCCCACGCCGGCGGUCAGAACCAGAGGAGCCCUCCUCGGGCCGGCGCCUCCCCACGCCGACGGUCAGAACCAAGGAGAGGCUCGCCGGCCUCCCCCGCCGCCGCCAUCAAGGCCCGGAAGCAAUCGCCCGCUCAGCCGAUUUACUGGUCCAGGUCACCUCCGCCGCUGUCACGGCGGGCAGGGCUCCCGUCCAGUCUCCGUCAUGGCCGCCGCCACCUCCGACGCUCCCCGGCCACAGGUGCGCAUUAACUCGCCUGUUGAUUGACCUUCCCGCUACCACCCUAUUGCCGCCGCUAUCCUUUCGCCUCCACGACGUAUGCUCUGCCGGCCACAAGUGCCCGUGAAAAACUGAAACGGCCCAAGGCACUACAGCAUUCAUGGCCUCUAUAGAUCGCCCUCCAUUACCCUACAAAUGCGGAAAAAUUGUUGCUGCAUUCGCGUUUAAAAACCAGUCUAUGCUGCCAUCGUCAUCCACUCUGGACCGUCCUCUACUCUGGAAGUUGUACUGCCCCUAAUAUUAGCCACACUGAUUUUUACCACCUCUAAGCUUAUUUUAAUGAUUUUCUCAGAUUGCAGGUUGGGUCGAAAGGUGCUCGAUGAUUCGCUUCAUAGGACUACUGCUGCUCGGAUUGAUUUCGUUGUUACACAGGUCUUUUGCUAAUCCCGUUUGUCCAGAUUGUUCUUUGCUGCGACUUGCAUAUGCAAAACUCAUACAGUGCUAAUAUGGAAUAUCAGGCUUUCACGUUUCAUAGUACUUCUUAUUUCUUCUUCUCAACACAACUUCUCUCAUCCGAGAAAAAAUCACGGAUGAUUGGUUCCCAUAUUAUUUUCUGUUUUGUGUGUGUUUAUUGUACAUUUGAUUAUAUCCAUUUCUAAUAGGGAUAAUAUGUUGAUGCUAGAGCUUAAACUCUAAAAUCGUAAAAGGGCGGUGUGUUCAGGAUGUGGUUGAGAGAAUAGUAGUUGGCAGAUACUGGAUUACCUGACCAGAAAGAGUAUCAUGGAAUUGGAUACGGACUUCCCUCAGGUUUUUGCAAUUUAGAUUAGCAAAUCACUUUUACUAUGUACGAAACUGAUCUGUUUCUUCUCAUUUAGGAUAGACGCAGUAAAAAAGAUGUCGUCAUUAUUCUUAUUUUCCUUUGUUACUGAAGAUUAUUCCGUACACAGACACACACACACACACACGCAACUGUGAAGGUAUAUGUGUUUUUUGUUUUUGGACAAGUCAUAUACAUGUUUGACUGGUAAUCAUGAUGCCUUGCUUCCUUUCUUUGCUGAAAUUUUACAACAAUGCCUCUACUAACCUCAUUUCAAUUGAUGAGUACAGACCUUCUGUUUGUUUUUGUGUGUGUUAAAUGGCAUAGGAAUUUCUCCCCUGGAGCUUUCCAGUUCAGAGAACUGAAUUUGACACUCCAAAUCAUAAUACAACAUUCAACAUUACUACGCAAGGGAACUUCAGAAAAUAUUUUCCUGUCCCUGGUAGAAACAGAACUGAAGAUUACACCCUUCAGGUUAGGUAUGGACACUUCAAAUCAGUAGACACCUUUUUUUCUUUCUGGUAUUGCUUCCAAAAUCAUGAUUACGUUCAUAUCACAAAACAGUCAAAAUGCUAAGCUAAAUUGUACUACAACAACAGCCUAUCUACAACUACAGCCAGCAGCUACAACAGCUGAGCGCACAUCACAUGGGCCUAGCCAAGUACGUUUACAUUGCAAGACAGUCUCGACGACAUUGACAGAGCAAAAUUUGUUGUAUUUUUCCCAUCAAUUGUUUUGUUCUGUGGUUGUUCUGAUGCUGAACAUAAAAUAAAUGUAUGCUUGCUGCUCAUUAUCAGGCUAUGAGGCAGACAAAGCAACUACAAAAGAAUGUAUCCUAGCUACCUUCACCAAUAUGUUGCAGCAGCAAGUCAAGCCACAGAAAAUAUAUGAAUGAUUGCUGUUAAUUUCAUUGGAAUGCAGGAAUGGCUGACCGAGAGCAGUGUGCACAUCUCUGAGGCCAAACGAGGUGUUGGAGUCGAGGAUUUGACACAAUUUGGAUCGAAUUACUGCUAUCUAUCCAACCGAUCUUUCUCUCCUCGGCUCUUGGUAGUUCGUCCCUGAGAUUGGUUUUCUAUGCCUAAGAAAGUGGAAUGGAGGGAGUAAUGCCUUGAGGUCUUAUUUAUUAUAAUUAUAGUCAAUGUAGUUCCAUUUUCAUAUUGUAGAGAUGAUAUUCGUUGUGUUACCUUGGGCCUGUAGGGUAUGUCAACCGGCUUUACCUAUGGAACACUUAGUUUAUUCCCAGUACUUUAUCAGCAAUCAUUUUUGUUAAAAGUAACUGUAUGCCACCACAGUGGCAAGAGUUAAUUCUCUUAAUAGGAUACUCUUGCAUUGCUAUGAACUUGGCCUCGGAUCAGAUUUUAUUGAACAAUAUUGCAUUUUAUUGUUAGCA